AUCAAGAGACCCAGUGAAAAGCUCUGGCUAGCUGGGCGGCAACCCUCUCCCGUAGCGGGGUGCCCCAGAUGAAGAUCAGGUUCGACGCGUCCU
rnacentral:ncRNA from 1 species